UACAUUUUUAUCAGAUUAAAAAACAAUUAUUGUGAAGUGGUAAUUAUCUCAAAGUCUACAAGACUCGAAUCACGUUCACAAUAUUCCACACGUAAACGCUAAUAACACCUUCAUUAAUUCAAUCUUUCAUGUGGCGCUGCCAUCUCGAGAAACGCGGCCUUGCGAAAGGCAAAUCGCAACAAGACGCGGGACAACAGGAUAUACGUUCGUAGGCAUCGUGGGCAGCCUUGUCGCGACGUCCAUGUCGGAAAACACCUGCGUUUCAACGGCCUAGAGCAGCAGACAAUCCUUUACGUCGGCGACCUUCCGCAAAGAAACUAUUGCGAAACUAUCGUCCGCUGUGAACGCAACCUAAACGCCAUCGAGAGAUGCAUGGAGAUUGCCCGUUUGAUCCUGCUUGCACGAAUGUCUAACGUGCAUUGUCACACGAUGACAGCCCACCGUUUGUUUCGCCACAGUGGUUCAACAACGUUUCUCGAACAACCUUCAAUCAUAUAUCGGAAUAUCGAAGAUGAUAUUUUCAAAUUAAUUGAAACGGCAACGAAUGCUUUGUUAUUUUUUCCACUUGCGAUGUGGCAAUAUGGCGAUCGAAGUGCAGUUAUCGAAAUGUAAAAAUAUGUGCGGUUAAGUAAACAAAGUGAACGUUAUAUAAGUACAUUGAGAAUAAUUUUAAAUUGGUAAUUUAUAAAUAUUUAAUCGGAAUAAAAAGGUAAAAAUUUGGCAAAACUUCUAUCGAGACGUCCAACAGUUUUCGUUGUAAACGAACAUUUAUGAUACACGUCAAGAUGUAAUUCUACGAUACGAUAUUCCUGGUGUUGGGUAUCCCCCAUGGCGAGAAGCGAUUCUAAAAAACUCGACACGGGCAGGGCUAAAGGAAAGAAGGAAAAAGCAGUCAUUGCCAAAAAAAGGCACAUCGUAGCAGAUGUAUUGGAUGGUACAGAAAAAUAAGGGACAUGAAUGAGCUCGUUAUCGAUUCGGCAUCGGAAUUGCUCAAUUUACUCAUUCAGGGACCUACAUACGUUUUUGCGGGGUAUAAAUGUUUAAGGAUAAUAUCGUAUAAAGAUCUAACCUUAUAUUUGUAUUAAGAUAUAAAUUGAAUAAUUUUUCCUUUCCAUGAUAAUUAAAUAAUUAAAUUAAUUUUCUAGGCGAUAUUUACUACGUGUAUAGACGAAAUAUAUGAUCAAAGAGAAAAUUAA
rnacentral:lncRNA from 1 species